rnacentral:hammerhead_ribozyme from 1 species
AUUCAGCUGACGAAUCCCAAAUAGGACGAAACCCGCGGCCUGGAU